GCACUCGCUUUGGGGACACAUGUACUAAAAUCAGAACAAUACAGAGAAGAUUAGCACGGCCCCUGCGUGCAAAGCAUUCCCUGUUUUAUCUUGAUUUUACCCCCUCUCAA
ensembl:snRNA U6 U6 spliceosomal RNA